AGUGAACGCUGGCGGUAGGCCUAACACAUGCAAGUCGAACGGCAGCACAGUAAGAGCCUGCUCUUACUGGUUGCGAGUGGCGUACGGGUGAGGAAUACAUCCUACUCUAUUUUUUCGUGGGGGAUAACGUAGGGAUACUUACGCUAAUAUCGCAUACGACCUUCGGUUGAAAGUACUUGAUCUUCGCACCUUGCUCGCUUCAAUGUGCCGCUGUGUUAUUUUCUAGUUGUGGGGGUAUAGGCCCACCAAGGCGACGAUCCAUAGCGGGUCUGAGAGGAUAAUCGGCCACACUGGAAUUGAGACACGGUCCAGACUCCUAAGGAAGGCAGAAGAGGGAAAUAUUGGACAAGGGGCGCAAGCCUGAUCAAGACAGACCGCGUGGGUGAAGAAGGCCUUCGGGUUGUAAAGCCCUUUUGUUGGGAAAGAAAAGCAGGAGGUUAAUAACCUGCUGUUCUGACGGUACCCAAAGAAUAAGCAACGGCUAACUUCGUG
rnacentral:rRNA from 1 species